AAUGUACUCCCUCCGUCCCAAAAUAGCUGUCUUGAUUUUGUACUAGCUCUAAUACAAAAUUGUAUUAAGUUUAAGACAGUUAUUUUGGGACGGAGGGAGUACUAG
rnacentral:pre_miRNA from 1 species